ensembl:lncRNA
UUAUUCUUCUGUGUUUCAAUUCCUGUUAAGAUAAACCAGCUGGAGGGAACGCGGCAGAUAAACGACUGCAGACAGAAGAAGAAACACAAAGCAGCAGUUUCUAAGAAGAAGAAGAAGAAGGUAAAACCUACAUCUGCCUGAAGGAGCUCGUAAAGAUUCAGUCUUUGUCUGUAGUCACAGUCUGGAAAUGAUGCCACAUAUGAAGCAACACACGGAGGUAAACGACUCGAUGUGGUAAAAUCCUGAAGCCGGAGGAUGAAAUACUGACACCACCUGCACGGCUGGUUAUGUGCGGCUAAAAUGAGAAGUGAGAAUUUCUGGACCUUUGAACCCCUUAAAAAGCUUUCAGCUUCAUUAUAAAGAUUACAGAAUAUCUAUCAGUGCAUCAGGUGGUCCAGGUGUGUGAUUAGGAGGCUUCCUGUGUGCCUCAUUACAAGGUUUAUUAAGCUGUACGACACCCAGAAAGCCACAAACUUCCUCCUAACAGCACUGCACCGCUGUCCAAAGACGACUGAAAUGUUCCUUUAUUACCAUGAGCACAGACCCACUCCCACAUGCAUCACUGUGCUGCCCCAAAAGUAACAGGUUGACUAAUCCGCCAUGAAAAAUAGUCCCCAAUAAACGCACCUUUUCCUCCUGUUAAACAAAAACUUCCCAUUUUCUUUUUGUGUGGUAUCAAAAAGGGAAAAAAAGCCAGCCAUCAAGAAAUACUGGUGUCAGCAGUUCAUCCCCCCAGUGUCGUUUGAGACGUGAAACAGCGCCGCCUGCAGCUAAACCGCAGCGCUGCAUGGACAAACUGAAACAGCAGAUGUUCUGGUUGUUAAAUGUUAAACAGAUGGACGAGCAUCUCUAACACGACACAGACGGACACGGGUGAGAUUUGUAUUAGUUGUUCUCGCUGUACAUGAAAAUGGAAUGAUGUGCUGAAAUUUGAUUCUACUCUACUUUCUCUACUGGAAUCGUGCGUCAAGUUUUCCUUCCAUUUACUGAGAAGUGGUGCGUUUUCUUUUUUGUCCCAACGACGUUUCUUGUGUGUGAUUAUUGUCACUCUAACAUUACAGAAACAUGUUAUUGCAUCAGACAUGAGCUCUAACCUGUUCAACCAUGAUAAUCACUUUAAUUAAAACAAGAAUCUUUUUUAACAUCACUGAACCCUUAAAGCUCACCAGUCAGUCAUCAGCUCCAGCACGCGCCUCAUCUUGAAAUAUUCUAGCUUGAAUUUUAUUUUUUAUCCUAUUGCUGCACAAG